UCGAUCGUUGAUGCAUGGUUGAUUUUUUGUGUGUCACACAUGUACACAUUUAAGUUUUGAACUUGGAGAUUUGCGCCAUAAAAGACGGAGUUUACCCGUCUAUUCAUGUUUGUCUGUGAACUGAACGUGGGUUGUGGAUCUGAGAGUGGAACAUUUACAGACGGAACAUGUAAAUCAGGUUGGUACUGAUUGACGUAUCCUGAUUAAUGCCAGGAAUACAGUCUGACAAGAGUUUUCAGCUUCAUGUGAACGAAUAUGAAGAGGAAGGAAAAUGUGUGUUUGUGGAUCUCAUUGCAUUAUUCGAUUCAAAUAAGUGUUUUGUGUCUGUUAAAAAAACAACGGAUUAUGUUGUGAAUGCUCAGUUUGAAAUAUCUGUUUAUCUUUGGAUGUAAUAAGAUACAUGUAAUCUAUAGCAUGUGAAAUGAUAUUCCGAAGAAAUGUGAACAUGGUGAAAUGUAUUUGAAAUGAACAGAACAGUGUAUUAUGGGUUGAUAUACAUGACGUACAUAUGUAUAUUACACAUGAAUUUUAAGUGAAGUGUAGGCAGAAUAUUAUUGAUGCAACACACAAGUUGUUAAGUAUGCAGAGUUUGUUGGCAACACUUUUGAUAUUGAUGUUUACAUUAAAUAUAAAGAGAUGGAUAACAAUACAUUGUUAUCACUUA